CAGCCAUCAAGCACCGCUUGGAGUUGGGCGUCGCUGGCCUACAGCGCGUCUCAAAAUCAGUGGCGGUACUAUCCAGGCCCCGAGCGCAGUAAAUCUCUCUCGCUUUGGAGCCUGGGCAGGGCCCGCCAGAAGCCAACUAUGUAUA
rnacentral:misc_RNA from 1 species